ACGUUUCCCUCAUGGGUCCUCUUUCAUAAUCACCUACCAAAAAAACUUCACCUGAGGCCUCUCUCACGGAUUCCCAUUAUUAAAAAGAGAAAAGAAAGAAACAGGAAGAGGAAAUUAAAAAAACACUCCUCUUCUUAAAAAAAAACACAACACCUCUCUUCCUCAUGGGUCCUCUUUCAUAAUCACCUACCAAAAAACUUCACCUGAGGCCUCUCUCACGGAUUCCCAUUAUUAAAAAGAGAAAAGAAAGAAAC
rnacentral:lncRNA from 1 species